rnacentral:lncRNA from 1 species
UAAAAAGUAAAUGCAAAAGAGUGGGUUAGGAAGUAUGCAAACUCGGCACGACGAUUUAUCACGUGGUAUCAAUAGCCAAAUGACGCCCCUAGUCCACGUUGGAGCUCCACCAAGGAUAUGCUCUCGGUCACCAAGUCUCUCCUGGUUAAGAUCUUGAGCUCACCAUAAAGGCUCUCGUCAAGCCGGAUGAGACGCUUGCCACAAAGGCAAGGUUCACCACUCCCUCUCUUCCUAAUAUCUUGAUGCCAUCUCCACUGCGGAGCUUCUCCAUGAAGGAAGGGGUCUCCUUAUUCCCCGCACAUGGUCGUUGAUGCCGCUCCACACCAAGCCGAAGGGUCGAAGACUUGCUGGUGAGCCACCAAGACCCCAACUCACUCUAGGCCUAUCCUAGCACUAACACUCUCUAAGCUUGUGCUAAGCAUUGGAUUAUCACUUUUGCACUUAUGGUGGCAUGGAUAUAUUCUUGAUGAGUCUUGGUCAUCAAUGGAUAUGUGGACACUCCGGCCACUCCAAAUGGUCGACUAUAGGGGGUAUAAAUAGCCCAAGGAUCUCAAAGAGUUGUUGCUCCAAUGGCUUGUAAAAACUGUGAGCAUCGGAUGAUAUGAUGUUCACUUGGGGUAGGCAUCGGAUCAUCCGAUGCUCCCUGCAGACACAUAUAGUCGUUGGACCUCCUGCCCAAAUUCAUCUGAUGCUUCAUUUGCUGUCUUCUCUUUCAUCUGAGACAAAAAUUCAUCUGAUGCUUGAUCCGACGCUUCAUCCGAUAGGUAUUGAAACAUCCUGUGCUGAAGAGGAUUUCGCCCAAAACCUUCUAGUAGUUUCGCAAAGUAAAUAGGUAUAGUCCAACACCUCCAUCUUCUAGCCAUUGGAUGUCUUCUCUGUGCAUUACUCUGAUGCUUGCUGCAACUCAAGUUGAUUUCUCAGUUGUACCAAUUGCUCCGAUGGUUGCUCUGAUGGACCAUCAGAUCGUCCGGUGCUUUAUGUUUUUCUGAGUUGAAUACCAGCACUUGGACAUUUGACAAACCAUUAAUCUCAAUGACU